rnacentral:rRNA from 1 species
CAGUUUUUGCGGAGAGUUUGAUCCUGGCUCAGGAUGAACGCUGGCGGCGUGCCUAAUACAU